rnacentral:rRNA from 1 species
UUUUAUGGAGAGUUUGAUCCUGGCUCAGGAUGAACGCUGGCGGCGUGCCUAAUACAUGCAAGUCGAGCGAACAGAUAAGGAGCUUGCUCCUUUGACGUUAGCGGCGGACGGGUGAGUAACACGUGGGUAACCUACCUAUAAGACUGGAAUAACUUCGGGAAACCGA